CAGGGAGAGGAUUGCUUUUGAGAUGACGAAAGUUCAGAUUCAAUGCCAUGUACUAGACACACUGAGGUACAGAAGAAGGACUUGGUGAUGCUUGGCUCCCACCUGUGCUCUGCAGUGAGACAUGACAAAGCCCAAUCCUCAAGCCUCCUUCCUGAAAUCAGGGUUGGGAUCCUCCUGUCACCACCUGCCUUUGGUGAAACAGCCAAGCAGAGCCUUUCUGGAGCUGUGAUGUGUUGGAACUUUACAGAGGAUGAGGGAGGUCCACACCACAGAAGAAACACCCACAAAACUGAGUUUAGACAUCCCCUGGAGAUCAUGGGAACCAGAAUCAGCAGUGAGGGAUGUUAAAGAGGAACUGGCACAGUGGAGGCAACCACA